ensembl:lncRNA novel transcript
AAGAUGAUCUGUAUUUUCUCUCUAAAGCAGAGUUCAUUUGCUGAGAAUGAUGGAGAAAAUCAGCAUCUAGCUAAUCAGCUGACCAUGAGAUGCAGAGAUUAUCUGGAAUUAUCCAGAUUGGUCCAUUUAAUUACAUGAGUCCUUAAAAGUGGAAAGUGGAAGAAGAGGCAGAAGAGUGUGUCAGAGAGAUGCUGUGUGAAAAGGACUCAACCUGCCACUUGAGGCUUUGAGGCUGGAGAAAGGGGCCAUGAACCAAGGAUUGUGAGCAGCCUGUAAAAUCUGGAAAAGACAAGGCAAUACCCUUUGCUGUCUCAGGGUCAAACAUGCAACUCCUGCCUGCUUGUAUGGCCAGCUGGGUUCAAGAAGGAAGGAACCUCAUUGUUGACAGUUACCAGAUGAAUGUGCCCCUUCUGUACAGCUAAGAAAUGGAAUAGACAUUGGUAACCUUCCACAGGCCCACACAUGUGUUAUCAGCCAUACCUUAGGACAGAAGGAAUGAGUUUGCAGAAAGGAUGCUCUUCAGAACUCAUGAAGACAUAAGGUGCUUCAAAAGAGGAGACUUUCGGAACAUGAGCAGGGAAAUUGUCACUUGAUAGAUGACAAGCAUUGUGAGAAACAACAGUUUGCCUUUCUUCAUUCCCUUCCUGGUUAUCUUUCCUGUCACAUGAAGAAGAAAUGAAACACCAGAGAGAAUCAGGUUAUCAUCAUCUACACCAGCCACUGUCACUGCCCUACAACCAUACUGAGAAUUUAGCCCUGGGGACAUCUUCCGAUAUAAUCUGGCAUAGAAGAGUGGUUAUCACACCUUUAGCAUGGGAAAGAGCCACAGAUUUGCUUCUUCCUAGCAAGGGCGUGAUACUAAUUCCAGAUCCAUCCAAAUAUUGUUCACUGCUUCUUAGACAGAGACCCCUUUCUCCCAGGACCCUUGAGACACCUUUGCUGUGAAUAAUGGAGAAGCAAAAGGAGUUACUAAUGAAGACAAACUAAACCUGAGAACAGAGAGAGCCUAACUAUGUGCUCCAGAAGUGCCAUGUGUGUCUAAGAUGAAGUUUCGCUCUUCUUGCCCAGGCUGGAGUGCAAUGGCACAAUCUCAGCUCACUGCAACCUCUGCCUCCUGGGUUCAAGCGAUUCUCCUGCCUCAGCCCCCUGAGUAGCUGGGAUUACAGGGAAAGAAGACUGGAGAGACGUUCAAAAAAAUUUUAACAGAGGUUGUGUUUGAAGACAAAUGUUGUGGAUGCUUUACUGUUUGCUUUUAUGUGACCAAAUAGAAAGACUUCAAGAGGCAGUUAGCAGGAUGAGGAGCUACUCCACCAUGUACCAUCAACAGCAACUUGGAAAAAAAAUGCCCGCACCAACAGGAAAAUGGAGCUGCAGGAGCUGAAUGAUGGUUUCAUACACAUCGACAAGGUGCACUUCUUGGUCCAAAAGAACAAGAUACUGCUGAUAAAGUGAAGCAGCUCCAGAAACAGGGAAAGUCAACCUGGGGAACUUCUACAAGGAGGAGAUGCAACAGCUGCAUCAGCAAGUGGACCAGGUAACCAACAAGGCCAGUAUCAAGGCUCAGCAUGACAUCCUAGCCAAGGACAUCAGGACAAUUUGCAGAAAGAGAUGCUUCAGAGAGAGGAAGCUGAGAGCACCCUUAGAAAUCCUGCAAACUUGCAGACUGCAUGUUGACAAUGCUUCUUUGACACUCCAUGACUUCUGGCAAUCUCUUCCUUGCAAGAAGAGAUUGCCUUUUUGAAGGAACUGCGCAGGAAUGAAACCUGGGAGCUGCAGGUCCAGAUUCAGGAAGAGCCAUACAAAUUGAUGAUAUUUCCAAGACUGACCUCAUGGCUGCACUGCGUGAUGUGUGUUAGCAGUAUGAAAGUGUAGUUACUAAGAACCUUCGGGAACCAGGCCAGGUUUGUUGAUCUCUCUGAGGCUAUUAACUGAACCUGGACAGUGAUGCCCUGCAUUAGGCAAAGCAGGAGUCAAAAGAGGAGGCAAAGACAGGUCCAGUCCCUCACUGGCCAAGCACUCAAAGGAACUGAGAAUUCUCUGCAGUGCCAGAUGUGUGAAAUAGAUGAGAACUUUGCUGUGAACUAUCAAGACACUAUUGGCCUCAUGCAGGAUGAGAUUCAGAAUGGGAAGGAAGAAAUAAUUAAGGCCUGCCACCUUAAUCAAUGUCAGGACCUGUGGGAUGCUCACAGAGCCCUUGACUUUGAGAUUGCCACCUACAGAAUGCUGCUGGAAGGUGAGGAGAGCAGGAUUUCUCUGUCUCUUCCAAACUUUUACUCUCAGAACUGGAGGGAAACCAUUCUGUGUUCACUCCCUCUGGUUGACAGCCACUCAUACAGGACCCUUCUGACAUUUAAAACUGGGAGAUGGACAGGUUAUCAAUGAACCUUCUCAGCCUCAUGAUUAGCUUGAUGAAAAAUUGCACAUACUCGCUGCAGCAAUAUAUCACCAUCAAGAAUAAAAAGGAAGACUACAUCUUAAAGAAACAGCCUUCAAAUGCCCCUCUACAGCUUUUCAGUAGCAUAAGAUAAAUUUGGAAUAGAAAUAAGCUACAGUUCUUAAGAACUAACACUCCUAAAAGAUUUAGAACAAAAGUUUAAAACAUAGUCUGGUUUAUGAAGAAGUUUUGUGCUACACCGGUUUUGUAAAAAUAUUUUGAAAAUCGUUAUAACUGUUUUUUUGUUCCAGCAAGUAUUGGACUAACUUGUUUCUACUUCAAUAAACCUUUGGAAAAACCAACCAGCAAACAACAACGAUUUUAAAAAUGCUUCUUGGGAUGAGUUGAAGAGAGAAUGGAAGAAACACUGAAAGGAAAUGUGAUACCAUGGAAAGUACACUGAACUGGGAAAUAGAAAGUAUGAGUUUUCAAUCCACCACCGAGCCCCUAUGUUACCUUAGCUGGGAUAUCUACCUUCUCCUGCCCUCAGACAUCAGAACUCUUGUUUCUCAGGCCUUCUGGCUCAGACUGAAUUACACAAGCUUUCCUGGAUCUCUGGCUUGCAGAUGACAUACCAUGGGACUUCACUGGCCUUCAUAUCUUUUCAGGUAUGUCUUUAUCCGCAGCAUGAAAAUGGACUAAUACAGUAAAUUUGUACCAGUAGAGUGGGCAUUGGUGAAAAGAUACUUGAAAAUGUGGAAACGACUUUGGAACUGGGUAACAGGCAGAGAUUGGAACAGUUUGGAGGGCUCAGAAGAAGACAGGAAAAUUUGGGAAAGUCUGGAACUCCCUAGAGGCUUGUUAAAUUGCUUUGCCCAAAAUCCUGAUAGCAAUAUGGACAAUAAGGUCUAGGCUGAGGUUGUCUCAGAUGGAGAUGAGGAACUUGUGGCGAACUGGAGUAAAGAUGACUCUUGUUACGUUUUAGCAAAGAGAUUGGCAGCUUUUUGCCCUUGCCCUAGAGAUUUGUGGAACUUUGAACUUGAGAAAGAUGAUUUAGGGUAUCUGGCAGAAGACAUUUCUAAGCAACAAAAUAUUCAAGAGGUGACUUGGGUUCUGUUAAAGGAAUUAAGUUUUAUAAGGGAAGCAGAGCAUAUUGGGAAAAUUUGCAGCCUUACUAUGUGAUAGAAGAGAAAAACCCAUUUUCUGGGGAGAAAUUCAAGCUGGUUGCAGAAAUUUGCAUAAGUAGCAAGAAGCCUAAUGUUAAUCCCCAAGAGCAUGGGGAAAAUGUCUCCAGGCCAUGUCAGAGAACAUCACAGCAGCCCCUCCCAUCACAGGUCCUGAAGCCCAGGAGGAAAAAGCGGUUUUGUGGGCCUGGCCUAGGGUCCCCGUGCUAUGUGCAGCUUAGGGACUUGGUGCCCUGUGUCCCAGCCACUCUGGCCAUGGCUGAAAGGGGACAACCUACAGCCUGGGCUAUAGCUUCAGAGGGUGAAAGCCCCAAACCUUGGCAGCUUCCAUGUGGUGUUGAGCCUGCAGGUGCACAGAAGUCAAGAACUGAGGUUUGGGAUGCUCUCCUAGAUUUCGGAAGAUGUAUGGAAACACCUGGGUGCCCAGGCAGAAAUUUGCUGCAGGGGUGGGGCCCUCAUGGAGAACCUCUUCUAGGGCAGUACAGAAGGAAAUGUGAGGUCGGAGCCCCCACACAGAGUCCCUACUGGGGCACUGCCUAGUGGAGCUGUGAGAAGAGGGACACAGUCCUCCAAACCACAGAAUGGUAGAAUCACCUACAGCUUGCACUGUGUGCCUGGAAAAGCAGAAGACAAUCCCAGCCUGUGAAAGCAGCCAGGAAGGGGGCUGUACCCUGCAAAGCCACAGGGGCAGAGAUGAUGGGAACCCACCACUUGCAUCAGCAUGACCUGGAUGUGAGACCUGAAGUCGAAGGAGAUCAUUUUGAAGCUUUAAAAUUGGACUGCCCCUCUGGAUUUCGGACUUACAUGGGGCCUGUAGCCCCUUUGUUUUGGCCAAUUUCUCCCACUUGGAAUGGCUGUAUUUACUCAAUACCUGUACCCCCAUUGUAUCUAGGAAGUAAUUAACUUGCUUUUGAUUUUACAGGCUCAUAGGUGGAAGGGACUUGUCUUGUCUCAGAUGAGACUUUGGACUGUGGACUUUUGGGUUAAUGCUGAAAUGAGUUAAGACUUUGGGUACUGUUGUGAAGGCAUGAUUGGUUUUGGAAUAUGAAAACAUGAGAUUUGGAGGGGAUGGGGUGGAAUGAUAUGGUGUGGCUAUGUCCCCACCCAAAUCUCUACUGGAAUUGUAUCUUCCAGAAUUCCCACAUGUUGUAGGAGGGACCCAGGGGGAGUAAUUGAAUCAUGGAGGCUGGUCUUUCCCAUGGUAUUCUCGUGAUAGUGAAUAAGUCUCACGAGAUCUGAUGAGUUUAUCAGGGGUUUCUGCUUUUUCUUCUUGCUCCUCAUUUUCUCUUGCUGCUGCCAUGUAAGAAGUGCCUUUUGCUUCCCAUCAUGAUUCUGAGGCC